UACGUAGGGGGCAAGCGUUGUCCGGAAUCAUUGGGCGUAAAGAGCGUGUAGGCGGCUCGGUAAGUCCGCUCUGAAAGCCCGGGGCUCAACCCCGGGAGGCGGGCGGAUACUGUCGGGCUAGAGUCCGGAAGAGGCGAGUGGAAUUCCUGGUGUAGCGGUGAAAUGCGCAGAUAUCAGGAGGAACACCAAUGGCGAAGGCAGCUCGCUGGGACGGUACUGACGCUGAGGCGCGAAAGCGUGGGGAGCGAACAGG
rnacentral:rRNA from 1 species